rnacentral:rRNA from 1 species
ACUCGAGUGGCGAACGGGUGAGUAACACGUGGGUGAUCUGCCCUGCACUUCGGGAUAAGCUUGGGAAACUGGGUCUAAUACCGGAUAGGAGCCAUCUUUAGUGUGGUGGUUGGAAAGUUUUUUCGGUGUAGGAUGAGCUCGCGGCCUAUCAGCUUGUUGGUGGGGUAAUGGCCUACCAAGGCGGCGACGGGUAGCCGGCCUGAGAGGGUGUACGGCCACAUUGGGACUGAGAUACGGCCCAGACUCCUACGGGAGGCAGCAGUGGGGAAUAUUGCACAAUGGGCGCAAGCCUGAUGCAGCGACGCCGCGUGGGGGAUGAAGGCCUUCGGGUUGUAAACUCCUUUCGCUAGGGACGAAGCUUUGUUGUGACGGUACCUAGAUAAGAAGCACCGGCUAACUACGUGCCAGCAGCCGCGGUAAUACGUAGGGUGCGAGCGUUGUCCGGAAUUACUGGGCGUAAAGGGCUCGUAGGUGGUUUGUCGCGUCGUCUGUGAAAUUCUGGGGCUUAACUCCGGGCGUGCAGGCGAUACGGGCAUAACUUGAGUGCUGUAGGGGUAACUGGAAUUCCUGGUGUAGCGGUGAAAUGCGCAGAUAUCAGGAGGAACACCGAUAGCGAAGGCAGGUUACUGGGCAGUUACUGACGCUGAGGAGCGAAAGCAUGGGU